UACAACUUUCAGCAACGGAUCUCUUGGCUCUCGCAUCGAUGAAGAACGCAGCGAAAUGCGAUAAGUAAUGUGAAUUGCAGAAUUCAGUGAAUCAUCGA
rnacentral:rRNA from 1 species